UCUGAUAGAUGUAGGUGUUUGAGUCAGAAAUUAUCAUUCAGUUCUUUCCUAAUAACAAAUUUUCUAUCAUGUCAGUAUUAAUUCUGGGCUGAAAUUAGAUCAUAUAAUUUAAUUUGUUUUUAUUUACAUUAAUAUUGGCAUAAGGAGUGGAAAAAGCAUCAGAAGUUAGACAUACAGAGAUAGUUUGCCACUACACAAAUAAAACAAGCUAAUGGUUUGAGGGCAUAUACCAUUCUAUGGGAUUUGUCACCAUCCUUGAAUUCUAGGCUGUAACGUUUCCUCUUGUGUCAUUGUUUCUUUGUCUAGGUAGAUAAACAAACUUAUGAGACUCUAUCAUAAUGCAAGCAAGAUGUCAAGAAGGAUACAAUUCUACACCUUUGGCCUUAAUUUAUGAGCACAUCACUUUAAAAUGCUCUGAGUAACCCUAUUAUCCCGAGGUCAUGCUCAAAUUUGGGGAUCCUACAUGAUACUGGGCAAGCCAAUGACCUGGCCAGUUACACUAUUUGUUCUAUGUAUAUAUAUUCAUAACAUUAUGGAGUUCAGUGCCUUGGUCACUGUGGCAGGCCCCCGGCCAGACAAGCUGGGUCCUGAUUGCAUCAUGGCAUGGUGUCCAUGCACUAAAAGGUGGCCCGGAAGCCAGGAAUGUGACAGGACACACUGGGCACUGGAAAUGGAGCCAGACGUGCUCCCCACCACCGAGAAUACCCUGUCACUGCUGCCAGCCAGUAAGCCAGGGGAUCUGGCUUAGGCCUGCCUAAGCCUGGAAGGGGCUGAACCAAUAGGAUAUCCAGGCCCCAGAAAAAAGACUGUCUGGAGUAAGCCAGGUAUAGCCCUGGUGGCCUGUCUAGGGUCCAACCCACUUGCUGGGACUGGGCAGCCCACACCAGAACCAAAGAACCAAGCAGCCUGUGCCAGGCUGGAGCCUUCAUUGUCUCAUAUAGGAUGGGGACAGGAGAAAGUGGACCGGUGGGCCCAGAGGGCACCUGGUUGGGGUAAACCUGAGGGAUGGACUGCAACUCCAUAGUCUCCCAGCAGCCUGACUGCAUGCUCAAAGUGCACCAUUGGGGGACCCUACUGCAUCCAGCCGCAAAUGAGCCCAGGAGGGAACACGUGAAGCCACAGGGACACCUGGCCACAAAGCAGUAGGGAAAAGCUCCAAGGAAAAGGGGGCCAGAUAGAGGAAGGAGAGUGAGGGUUUGAGGAAGCAGUGUGGGGGCAAUGCUGCCCUGCCCACUACUCAGCCUAAGCCACAUUAAGUUAACUUGGUUUCUUUUUGAGUUAGCAUUUUCUCUCCAAGCAUAAUAGGUCACAGCAAAUGACCAUGGUACUGGAGCAUCAUCCCAACUGCACAUCCAAUCACCUGCAACACCAAGGUGCAGCCUGUGACCUACAAGAACACCUGAGUGGAAAGGGGUAGGGUGUAGGGGAGGAGGAGCCCCACAGAAGAUGCACCAAGCAGGUGUCCCAGAGCUAGGAAGAACCACUGAACAUCACAGAGGGCAAGCAUUAUGUGAAAGCCAGAACUACAGAAACAGGAAAAACAGAUUAAUUAUCUUUAAUUGACAUCCCAAGCUGUAAGUAAUUAAAAGUGAAGAAGCAGCAAGCAAGGAAUUUUCAUGAAGGUUCUAAAACAUGCAUUAUUCACCUGAAAAAUAAAAAAAACUCACCUCUAUAAUAUUUACUAGGUUUUUAUGCAAUGCCACAUCACAGUGAGGAAGGUGAGAGGGUCUGCUAUACCUGCUACCGAGCUCUACAAGAUUUAUGUCCACCACAGCUGAUCGUAUUUCAUAUCCCCUUUGUCAUACAGGGUUCUUUCAUUAGAGCAGUGGACCUAAACCCUGUUGGACUUGAGGCACCCUUUGCUGGACACAAAACAUAACUCCAUAACUUUUGAGAAUUGAGCAACGUCCCAUUUAAAAAACUAAUUUAUUUAUUACAGUGCUUACCUGCUUGCAGAGGGACUGGGCACUGAGGGCAGAGCAACAGCCAGGCAGUUCUCAUGACUUUCAUUAUUGUUGGGAUAGCUGUACUUGCCGUUCAGAUUUCCAUGAAAAAUAAAAGGUGAAGCACUGAAUGGGCAAGGCCAGCCCUUUCAUCAGCUCAAUGGCAGAAACAUGUCCACACAUACAGAGGAAGUCAAUGCAGCUCUGUGACCUUUUCAUGAACUUUCUAAGAGAUGCAAAGAUCAUUCAAGAAGGCAAAGGUCAGCAUUCAUGCUGGUCACAAACAAAAAUCAGAUUUAGCCAUGCACUGAAAGAUAGCUACUAGUCCCUCUGCUUAUUCAAAAAUACAUUGAUAAAACACUUUGUGCAUGACUGCAAAAUGAAACAUUUAGCAGUUUAAUAUUUACAGCAGUAGCAUAGACCAACUCUGCUAUACUCAUUUGCUUAUUUAUCAGAAAUUAUGCAAAUUAUGCAUGAUAUGGGUCAUAUGUAAUGUAUCUACCAAAGCAGAAAAUAGUUUUAAUAGAGGAAAAGAAGAGACCAAACUGGAGGAAGGUCUUGAAAUGCAAAAUAAACACAGAUAUCCCGCUCAUCCAAUUUACACAAAAAUAUUACAAGACAUGUUGGCCAAUAUGCUGCAAUACCUUUGAAGAAAAGCAUGAGUUAAGGGUAAGGUAACAGUAAACAGAAAAUUCAGUCUCAGGUCUAAAUUACUUUUCUGUUAUAAAUUACUACAGUAUUUGGUACCAACUAUAAUAGAUUAAGAAUCUUAAAUAUAACCGAUCUAAAAUAAAAUACAUAACAUAGUAUAAUUGUGACAAAGGCAUCUUCCAGGCCCAGUAUUAGUAUGGCCCCGCCUUUGUCUCUGGGCAAACCACCUGCCUUGCUCACCUGCCAUGCCUUGUUGAUAAGUGGUUAUGAUGUCAAAUAGGUGGGAAGCUGCCCUUCGUGCACCCAAAAGACUGUGGGUGAUUAGUACAUGCUCCUACGAUCUGCAUAUGUGUCCCAUGCCUCACGGAUGUCUCACCAUGUGAUGAUACUCUGGCUCAGGGCCAGGCCAAACUGGGUACACAGUUGUAUCUUUAUCAUACUGCCUGCUUUGGGGCCACACCACCCCUCUCUCACCAGGGCCUCUUGCACUCCACCGACUCUCACCUGGUCUCUUGCAUACUGCCUAUCCAGGUCACACUCACUCUGCCCUACUCUGUACAGGUCCUCAGGCUUUUCUCUCCACCCCUUGGUCAGCCCUGGCAUGGUCUUUUGGGCCUCUCCUGUGACCCUCACCUGAAUGGGAGCAAUUACUCAACUAUGGGCCUACUUCGCCCUGGCCCCUCACUGGACCACUACGCCCCUCUCUCAGGCAACAACUCUACCCCUUUACACUAGGGCCUGGGGUCUUCCACCCCUUACAACUCAGCCGCUCCUCUCUGAGCUUAACUGGCCCCACAACUCUGCCCUGCAACUCUCAGGGCCUGGGGUCUCACACCCCCUUGGGUUCAAGUGCUGCUCAUUCAGCAUGCCUAGCCCACCUCCAGGGUCCAACACAAGCUACUCUACAUGCCUGCCCCCCCCAACUCUCCUAGUCACCCA